GGGUUGGCUUAGUGGUUAGAGCUUAGGUCUCGUAACCGAAAGGUCGCGGGAUCGAAUCCCACGAAAGGCUG
rnacentral:tRNA from 1 species